rnacentral:lncRNA from 1 species
ACAUCUACCUGAAGAACAGAUAAGGCAAGCGAAAAUGAUACCAGCAGCAUGUGGAGACAAUGUGCAGAAGAAACAAGCAGAGAAGAAUGCAGCUUGCACAAUCAUCCCAGCAGAAGGAGUCUGAGAUGAAGAACUAGAGAAGCUGCCACAUCUGCUUGAAGAACUCAAGAAGCUUCAACAACAUCGCCAAAGAGCAAAGCCUCGCCGUACAAUAUCAUCAAAUCAUCACUUGCAAGUAAAAAGCUAAGUGUCACCCCGUUCAAGAGGAAAGCUGUGGAAAGUCAACAAGCAUGACCAAUGAUCACUUAUUAGUUCUAUUCAUUGUCUUUUAUCGUGAUUUUCAAUUUUUUUUUACAUUUUCUUGCGUUACUUAACUGAAUUAUUUCUUUUCUUUGCAGGAAUUUUUUGUUAUUUCCACCCUUGAAGUUGAUUGCAGAAUUUUAGCUUGG